AGUUCCGAUUCCACCACCUUCACUAUCGUUAUCAUCAUCGUCAUUGGGAUUGUUAUUUCCGGAUUCCAUAUUUAACCCCGAGCUGUCCCUCUCUCUAUCUCUGACAUCCCUAUUGUCUCGAACCCUAACGUCGUGCUCUUUCUCCUUGCCUUUGUCGGAAGAUUCGCUUUUGUUACGACGGGAACGGGAUGAUGACUCGACAGGGGUAGUAGAGUCCAUGAGUGCAGGACAAGCGCGAGUAGAGCGAGUGCGAGCUGUGGCAAUG
rnacentral:misc_RNA from 1 species